rnacentral:rRNA from 1 species
ACGGGAGGCAGCAGUGGGGAAUAUUGCACAAUGGGGGAAACCCUGAUGCAGCGACGCCGCGUGAGUGAAGAAGUAUUUCGGUAUGUAAAGCUCUAUCGGCAGGGAAGAAAAUGACGGUACCUGACUAAGAAGCCCCGGCUAACUACGUGCCAGCAGCCGCGGUAAUACGUAGGGGGCAAGCGUUAUCCGGGUUUACUGGGUGUAAAGGGAGCGUAGACGGCGAUGCAAGUCUGAUGUGAAAGCCCGGGGCUCCACCCCGGCACUGCAUUGGAAACUGUGUUGCUAGAGUGCAGGAGAGGUAAGUGGAAUUCCUAGUGUAGCGGUGAAAUGCGUAGAUAUUAGGAGGAACACCAGAGGCGAAGGCGGCUUACUGGACUGUAACUGACGUUGAGGCUCGAAAGCGUGGGGAGCAAACAGGAUUAGAUACCCUGGUA